UUGCUCCUUUGACGUUAGCGGCGGACGGGUGAGUAACACGUGGAUAACCUACCUAUAAGACUGGGAUAACUUCGGGAAACCGGAGCUAAUACCGGAUAACAUAUUGAACCGCAUGGUUCAAUAGUGAAAGGCGGCUUUGCUGUCACUUAUAGAUGGAUCCGCGCCGUAUUAGCUAGUUGGUAAGGUAACGGCUUACCAAGGCAACGAUACGUAGCCGACCUGAGAGGGUGAUCGGCCACACUGGAACUGAGACACGGUCCAGACUCCUACGGGAGGCAGCAGUAGGGAAUCUUCCGCAAUGGGCGAAAGCCUGACGGAGCAACGCCGCGUGAGUGAUGAAGGUCUUCGGAUCGUAAAACUCUGUUAUCAGGGAAGAACAAAUGUGUAAGUAACUGUGCACAUCUUGACGGUACCUGAUCAGAAAGCCACGGCUAACUACGUGCCAGCAGCCGCGGUAAUACGUAGGUGGCAAGCGUUAUCCGGAAUUAUUGGGCGUAAAGCGCGCGUAGGCGGUUUUUUAAGUCUGAUGUGAAAGCCCACGGCUCAACCGUGGAGGGUCAUUGGAAACUGGAAAACUUGAGUGCAGAAGAGGAAAGUGGAAUUCCAUGUGUAGCGGUGAAAUGCGCAGAGAUAUGGAGGAACACCAGUGGCGAAGGCGACUUUCUGGUCUGUAACUGACGCUGAUGUGCGAAAGCGUGGGGAUCAAACAGGAUUAGAUACCCUGGUAGUCCACGCCGUAAACGAUGAGUGCUAAGUGUUAGGGGGUUUCCGCCCCUUAGUGCUGCAGCUAACGCAUUAAGCACUCCGCCUGGGGAGUACGACCGCAAGGUUGAAACUCAAAGGAAUUGACGGGGACCCGCACAAGCGGU
rnacentral:rRNA from 1 species